UAUAAAUAGUAGUAGUAAUAAUAAUAAUGAAUAUCGGGUACCGUCAAUAAUUCCCGAAUGAGAAUUGAGGAGAAACACACAACACAUUAUUGUAAUGUAUACUAUUACCUGAGGUCCACAAGAAGAACAAGAAUAAUGUGUUUUUGGAAAAAAAUAACAGUAAGAAAUGGUAAAGAAAAAAAUAAGAAACGUUUAUUAUCUAAAGAGAAAAAGGGUCACGCAGGAGUCAGGAGGGAACAUGUCAAACCGCGCGCCGAGCCAGCUGUGUGAAAUGACAAAGUUAUGUGUUUCUGGUAAUGUCUUCGAAAACCCAUAGAUUCCACGCACACAUUUAUAACAUGAAAACCCUCGAAAUCAUUCUAGAUGGAAUCGGACAACCCCUGUAUUGUAAGCGUGUGUGUAAUGCAUACAAUGCGCGUCGAGGGUGUGUUCGACAUGACAAGAAUGUUAGUGCGCUGUACUCGUAACAUUCAAUGAUGUGCCGCCGCCACCGCGGACAACCGAAUAAACGCGCACGGGACGAGGAGUGGGACGACGACGACGACGACGAGGAGCACGAGAAUAUUAGGUCAUCUAAGAUCCAAUAAUACUGACGUUUGCGGUUUAUUAAACGUUUCCCAGAAAAAUGAAUUUAAGGCAAAACUACCUCGUGUUAGUCACAAAAGGUACAACGAAUUGAUCCAACGGAAAUAUAAUUCUGUAAUUGAAGAAUCAAAACGUUUAUUCAAAAAGGUUUAUGGCUGUAAUAUUCCUCGUCAAGUUAGUGUUUUGAAUGAAGAAAUGGAGUACGAUCCUCAUACAUUGCUUGAGACUGAUCAAGUUAUACCGGUAGAUGUAAUCAUUGAGGAGACUGAUAUGACUUAUAACCCUUAUAAACGUAAAGCUCCCACUCCUGCAGAGGGAAAUUAUAUAAUACCGAAAAAAAAGAGUUUUAAAACCAGAAUAAGUUGCAGCAUCCGAGAUUGUUAUUACCUCAAGUUGCUUUGGUUGUAUUAAAAAUGUUGAACAGAUACACGAGUUGUAUUAUAUCGUGAAACUAUAAACGAGUACGUGAAAUUAUAUUUUAACUUCAGUCUUUUGGAUAUUUGU